UACGAAGGGGGCUAGCGUUGCUCGGAUUGACUGGGCGUAAAGGGCGCGUAGGCGGAUAGUACAGUCAGGCGUCGAAAUUCCUGGGGCUCAACCUGGGGGCUGCGUUUGAUACGUGUUGUCUGGAGUCCGGAAGAGGAGUGUGGAAUUCCUGGUGUAGCGGUGAAAUGCGCAGAUAUCAGGAAGAACACCUAUGGCGAAGGCAGCACUCUGGGACGGUACUGACGCUGAGACGCGAAAGCGUGGGUAGCAAACAGG
rnacentral:rRNA from 1 species